UAGAGUCAAAUACGUUCUGUGGCACACAUCAGAGUCAAAUACUUGCUAGAGAACAAACUUCACUUCAGGAUAGGCUACCGAAAUUAAUAAUGAAUGUAUGUGUGUUAUAUUAAACAUAGAGGAGGGAUUGACAGCUUCCUUGAAGGACACAAAUAAAAAAUGCAUUCUGCUACUAAGAUCAGUGAAAACUGACAACGGAGUGAAAAGCAGAAAUCUCAACUACCAAGCAAGUCGCAGCAAUGAAGAAUUGAGUGUGUGCGCGCGCGUCCACCCAAAGGGAGGGAGAAUUCUGUCGGGGGAGAUUUUCGGUACAACACCUGUUACCUUCAGACAAAUUCCCUGGGUCGGAGAGUAAAACGGAGAACACCAUCGUGUUCGUGAUCCAUGGUUGAAGAAGUGAAAAUGAAACAAGGACUGAAGCAAUAGACACCUAGAGAUUUAAAUCAAUGUUGUUUCUUUGAAAAGAAGGGCCUGGCUGACAUGAAAAAUGCAUUAAAGGGAAAGGAUCCACAGAGACACAGGCUGAUUAUCUACCUGCACAUCUCUUCAUUUACCUUGCUGGCUGCCAUGGUUAACACAAACGCAGGACAUUGAAUGCUACCUGAAUUGACUCAGAAAAGUAACAUAAGUAGGCCUACAGUAUCACAGCGAGGUCGAACAGGUGUGUGCUAGUUAGAUUAUCCAGGUUCCACAGCAACACUAUUGACUAUUCUCUACCUCCACUGUAUGCUCUCACUAACCCUCAUAUUUUCUCUGUCUCCCCUUCCGGAGGGCCUGAGGCUCUGGGACCGUGACAGAGGACACCCUGGCCUGAUACCUCGACAUGCCUGGCCCAAUCCAAGCUGGCCACACUCUACCUCCUACCUGCCUGUUACCAUGACGACUUUGUGAAAAGCGAUCUGACCAUAGGGUCUUGAAUGUAUGCUUUUAUACGGCCUAUAUCUUUGUAUUACAGCAGUCAAAUAGAGUAUUGAAAACUGGAAGUGUGACUUCUUUCCCUAAUGAUUUCCUAUGGCUGAGGUAUUUUGUUAGUAAUCAGGUAUUCCAUACCAAGGCUAGAUGAGCCUGAAUGGCAACACCAGACACAAAUGCAAUGCAACUAAUGAAUCUCAUUGUUAAAUGACUGGUCAGUCUGUUGAAUAUUCCAUUAAUGAAAAUAUGGAUUUGUUGGCUGAAUUAAGGUUCUAUUAAAACUUCAAAAAGGUCACACACAAUAGGGUACGUUUAUAAAAUAAAGUAAUUGACAAGAAAAGUCAUUUACAACAUCAA